GCUAGAAGAUGACGAGCGGCGGACGGGUGAGUAAUGCUUGGGAACAUGCCUUUAGGUGGGGGACAACCUUUGGAAACGAUGGCUAAUACCGCAUAAUGUCUACGGACCAAAGGGGGCUUCGGCUCUCGCCUUUAGAUUGGCCCAAGUGGGAUUAGCUAGUUGGUGAGGUAAUGGCUCACCAAGGCGACGAUCCCUAGCUGGUUUGAGAGGAUGAUCAGCCACACUGGAACUGAGACACGGUCCAGACUCCUACGGGAGGCAGCAGUGGGGAAUAUUGCACAAUGGGCGCAAGCCUGAUGCAGCCAUGCCGCGUGUGUGAAGAAGGCCUUCGGGUUGUAAAGCACUUUCAGUUGUGAGGAAAGGUUAGUAGUUAAUACCUGCUAGCUGUGACGUUACCUACAGAAGAAGCACCGGCUAACUCCGUGCCAGCAGCCGCGGUAAUACGGAGGGUGCGAGCGUUAAUCGGAAUUACUGGGCGUAAAGCGUACGCAGGCGGUUUG
rnacentral:rRNA from 1 species